UUAUUUUUAAGAAAAUGCUUUCUCUAUUUUAGAAUUGAGCGCGUGGAGGGCAGUCUCGGUGGAUUUACCCUUUUUAUUAGCAUGCUGUGCAUCCGAGAUUUGGGUUGGCUUAAGAGUUGAUUUUAGUUAUAGGCCUAUGACUCUUUCUAGCGUCUUAAGCAGGAAGGAUGAGAGACUGAUAGGUCUAAAAGCUAUUGGGGUCGUGUGUGAUUAUUUGCUCGCUUCGGGUAUGAGAAUGAUUUGCGAUUUAAGCCACUGUUGUGGGAUUCUGUCUAGGGCAAGGGAUCUGUUGAAGAUUGUGGGGGUCGCUCGCUGGUUCAAAGCCAAAACAAAACAAAAAAAAAGUAAUUUAAAAAUUUUUUAGAAAAAAAAAAAAGAAAACAAAAAUAGUAAACAAAAAACAUAUGGUCUUAUUUACCUCUUGAACCCAAUGCAGCUCAGCUGACCCCAAUUGACAUUCACCCCCCACCACAGCUGCUCCCCUUUUUGGGAAUUCACCCACCCACGUAAGCACCUGUCAAAAAGUGACAAUCCCAAAAGAUGCAUUUCCUGUCUGCCACCUGAUUUCACUUUCAUUCUGAAUCUCGCUGCGGGCAGACCUGUGCAUCUGUGCUAAAAAAAAAAUUUUGUAAACCAGUGACCCAACCUCGUGGAGGAGAAAAUUAGUGUGUGAUUUUUUUUAUAAGAAUAGAGCGGAUUUUUGUUGCUGGAUGACCCUCGAUGCCCGUGGAUUUGGAGGCACCACCUGGCCCAACCUCGGCAUCCAUCAUAAGCACCAGCAUCACCACCAAGCUUCAGGGAUUAUUUUUACGACCCGUCGCCGAAAUUCCGCCGGCAACAUCAACCCCUCUGCCUGUGGAGUCUUGGAUCUUUUUUUAUGUAUUUUUUUUGUAUAAAAAAAAUUACAAAUAUCACGUAACUACAACUAUUAAAUAUCCCCGCGAGAGAGGACAAAAA